rnacentral:rRNA from 1 species
AUUGAACGCUGGCGGCAGGCUUAACACAUGCAAGUCGAGCGGAGCGAGGGUGCUUGCACCUUAGCUUAGCGGCGGACGGGUGAGUAAUGCUUAGGAAUCUGCCUAUUAGUGGGGGACAACAUUCCGAAAGGGAUGCUAAUACCGCAUACGCCCUACGGGGGAGAGCAGGGGAUCUUCGGACCUUGCGCUAAUAGAUGAGCCUAAGUCGGAUUAGCUAGUUGGUGGGGUAAAGGCCUACCAAGGCGACGAUCUGUAGCGGGUCUGAGAGGAUGAUCCGCCACACUGGGACUGAGACACGGCCCAGACUCCUACGGGAGGCAGCAGUGGGGAAUAUUGGACAAUGGGGGGAACCCUGAUCCAGCCAUGCCGCGUGUGUGAAGAAGGCCUUUUGGUUGUAAAGCACUUUAAGCGAGGAGGAGGCGCUCUAGGUUAAUACCCUAGAUGCGUGGACGUUACUCGCAGAAUAAGCACCGGCUAACUCUGUGCCAGCCGCCGCGGUAACAC